GCCUACUUCCGGCAGAACAGCCCGGCUGGGGAAGGAGGCAGGUGCCCCAGGAAGCUCUUGAAGGUCAGGGCCGUGGCUCUUGGGCCUUGAAGUCCUCCCUGACCCGGUGACCUUGGCGGCCCCCUCGUGUGCCUUCCGGGGGCGGGGGCGGGGGGCAGCCGGCGAAGCCCCUGCCUGCCAGCCUGGCUGCUGUGAGGACAGACCCCAGGGAUGGGAGAGCAGCAGGAGCCCCCACCCGUCAGGGCGGAGACAGGGAGACUCGGCAAUGCGCCAGCGCAGGUGGCGGCGGGGCCGGGGUAGCGGCUCCGGGCCAAGGAGCGCGGACCUGGCGAAGCCUCCCAUUUAGCCCAAAGCCUGAACUCUUCCCUCCGGGGCGUCCGUCCAGUGUGUGGCCCAAAACUGCAUUUCCCAGCACAUCAAACCCGCAGCAGCACGGCCCGACCUGCAGCAGAGGCCUUCUGUGACCUGUGGGGUCCUGCGGGGCCUUCAUGACCUGUGGAGUCCUGCGGAGCCUUCCGUGACCCGGGGGAUCUUGCAGGGCCUUCGUGACCUGUGGGGUCCUGCGGGGCCUUCCAUGACCUGUGGUGUCCUGCGGAGCCUUCCGUGACCCGGGGGAUCUUGCAGGGCCUUCGUGACCUGUGGGGUCCUGCGGGGCCUUCAUGACCUGUGGAGUCCUGCGGGCCUUCCGUGACCUGUGGGGUCCUGCAGGGCCGUGCCCCACUCAAAGCACCAGCCCACAGGAUCCGUGCCAGAGGGUCCGACAGAAGACACUGAAGGGAGGCAAAAGCAGCGGCAGGGAGUCCCCAAGAUCAGCUGGAGUCGGGGGCGGUGGAGAGAGCAGAGAAUUGUAAGGAGAAGGGACACGGGAAUUUUUCCCAUUUUUCCUUGACUUUCUGCAUGUCUUCUGACCGAGCACCCAGAAUCCGGGAGAGAGGGAAGCGAAUGCCCUGUUUAUCCAUAUUGUCAGCAUGAGGAAGCCGCAGAGAUGCACAGCAACUGCUAAGGACAAGUGUAGCAUCUUAAAAAUCACAGAAAUGUGACAGAAGAGAGCUUGGCUUCGGAGCCGGAACGCAUGGAUUCAAAGCCCCAAAUCUGUUGAUCACCAUCUGUAGGACUUUGGACAAUGACUCAGCCUCUCGUAGACCCUGAGUGGCACAGCGGUUUAGCGCCUGCCUUUGGCCCAGGGCACGAUCCUGGAGACCCGGGAUCGAAUCCCACGUCGGGCUCCCGGUGCUUGGAGCCUGCUUCUUCCUCUGCCUAGGUCUCUGCCUCUCUCUCUCUCUCUCUCUCUCUCUGUGACUAUCAUAAAUAAAUAAAAGUUAAAAAAAAAAAAAGAACUAGAU
rnacentral:lncRNA from 12 species